rnacentral:rRNA from 1 species
UGAGGAAUAUUGGGCAAUGCCCGCAAGGGUGACCCAGCAACGCCGCGUGGAGGAUGAAUGUCGUAAGAUUGUAAACUCCUGUUAGAGGGGAAGAAUAGUACCGGUUGGACCGGUAUAUGACUGUACCCUCAGAGAAAGCCCCGGCUAACUACGUGCCAGCAGCCGCGGUAAUACGUAGGGGGCAAGCGUUGUCCGGAUUUACUGGGUGUAAAGGGCGCGCAGGCGGGAUAAAAAGUCAGUGGUGAAAUCCUACAGCUUAACCGUAGAACUGCCUUUGAUACUUUUAUUCUUGAGUUCGGGAGAGAGAGACGGAAUUCCAGGUGUAGUGGUGAAAUACGUAGAUAUCUGGAAGAACACCCGUUGCGAAGGCGGUCUCUUGGUCCGACACUGACGCUGAGGCGCGAAAGCGUGGGGAGCAAACA